CGACCCAGUGGCUGGGGAUAACUCGGGGAAACCUGAGCUAAUACCGAAUGAGUUCACGAGGUCCUCGGGCUUUGUGAAGAAAGAGGGGCAACUCUCACCACUGGAUCGGCCCGCGUCCCAUCAGCUUGUUGGUGUGGUAACGGCGCACCAAGGCAACGACGGGUAGCUGGUCUGAGAGGAUGAUCAGUCACACUGGGACUGAGAUACGGCCCAGACUCCUACGGGAGGCAGCAGUGGGGAAUAUUGGACAAUGGGCGAAAGUGAUCCAGCAAUGCCGCGUGUGUGAUGAAGGCCCUAGGGUUGUAAAGCACUGUCGGGAGGGACGAAAAUGGUGGUGUAACGGCCACAACUGACGGUACCUCCUAAGGAAGCACCGGCUAACUCUGUGCCAGCAGCCGCGGUAAUACAGAGGGUGCAAGCGUUGUUCGGAAUCACUGGGCGUAAAGCGCGUGUAGGCGGUUUCGUUAGUCGGAUGUGAAAGCCCCGGGCUCAACCUGGGAACUGCAUCCGAUACUGCGGAACUAGAGUCCCGGAGGGUGGUGGAAUUCCUGGUGUAGAGGUGAAAUUCGUAGAUAUCAGGAGGAACACCCGUGGCGAAGGGACCACCUGGACGGGCACUGACGCUGAGACGCGAAACUGGGGAGCAAACAGGAUUAGAUACCCUGGUAGUCCACGCCGUAAACGAUGGUCACUUGGUG
rnacentral:rRNA from 1 species